rnacentral:lncRNA from 10 species
UUUGGGAAAUGGAUGGGCCUUAGCUGUGGCCACGCUGGAGCCUGCAGAGAAUGAGGAGGAGAUGUGAGAGGAGGGUAGGCUCAAGAGCUGGAGGGAAGAGGAGAAGGAAGAAGAGAAGGUUCCAUCUGGUAGCCAGGAUGGUGGAUGAUGAUUCUGGUUCUGCAUUCCACCUCCAAGAAGAACACCAUCUCCACCUGCAGCCCUCACUUCCACAUACCCCCAGUCCUCUGUGCUCUUGCUGAUAUGAACUCUCCACAAGGAAACUACGCAGCAAGACAGAUUUGCAUGGACAUAGACCAAGGCUUUUCAUAUACCUGGUGCCUUGAAGGCACUGGUAUGUGUGUAUUGCCUGUGAACAGAUGGGCAGCUCCAUCCCUCAUGUCCCAGUCACCCAUGUGGGUUUACUGCAAUGAAUUUUACUCCUAUUUUUCCCAAUUUCAUCAUUGCCCUUUUAUUUUAUUAAUAAAGGACUCCUGCUUAGUUUUGAAG